CCCACUACUAUCUUCCCAGCAAAGGCAAAGGGUCCGAAACGUCAUAGCUACUAACUUCGAGCGAAGGCCCACUACUAUCUUCCCAGCAAAGCCAAAGGGUCCGAAACGUCAUAGCUACUCACUUCGAGCGAAGGCCCACUACUAUCUUCCCAGCAAAGCCAAAGGGUCCGAAACGUCAUAGCUACUCACUUCGAGCGAAGGCCCACUACUAUCUU